rnacentral:tRNA from 1 species
GGCGGAUUAGCCAAGUCGAACGU